rnacentral:rRNA from 1 species
GAUGAACGCUGGCGGCGUGCCUAAUACAUGCAAGUCGAGCGAACAGACGAGGAGCUUGCUCCUCUGACGUUAGCGGCGGACGGGUGAGUAACACGUGGAUAACCUACCUAUAAGACUGGGAUAACUUCGGGAAACCGGAGCUAAUCCCGGAUAAUCUAUUGAACCGCAUGGUUCAAUAGUGAAAGACGGUUUUGCUGUCACUUAUAGCUGGAUCCGCGCCGCAUUAGCUAGUUGGUAAGGUAACGGCUUACCAAGGCAACGAUGCGUAGCCGACCUGAGAGGGUGAUCGGCCACACUGGAACUGAGACACGGUCCAGACUCCUACGGGAGGCAGCAGUAGGGAAUCUUCCGCAAUGGGCGAAAGCUUGACGGAGCAACGCCGCGUGAGUGAUGAAGGUCUUCGGAUCGUAAAACUCUGUUAUUAGGGAAGAACAAAUGUGUAAGUAACUAUGCACGUCUUGACGGUACCUAAUCAGAAAGCCACGGCUAACUACGUG